rnacentral:rRNA from 1 species
UACAGAGGUCUCAAGCGUUGUUCGGAUUCAUUGGGCGUAAAGGGUGCGUAGGUGGCGCCGUAAGUCAGGUGUGAAAUCCCGGGGCUCAACCCCGGAACUGCACUUGAUACUGCGGUGCUCGAGUACUGGAGAGGAGAUUGGAAUUUACGGUGUAGCAGUGAAAUGCGUAGAUAUCGUAAGGAAGACCAGUGGCGAAGGCGAAUCUCUGGACAGUUACUGACACUGAGGCACGAAAGCCAGGGGAGCAAACGGG